AUGAUUUCACAGAAUCUCUUGAUCUGGCUCCUCGUGCUCUGCAUUCAGGGUGCCAAGGGACAGAUUGUGAUGACUCAGACGCCAGAAUCCCUGGCAGUGUCUCCAGGAGACACAGUCACUAUCCGCUGCAAAGCCAGUUCCAGUGUAAGCAACUACAUGGCCUGGUACCAACAGAAAUCAGGACAAGCUCCUAAGAUGCUCAUCUAUCUUGCUUCUACCCGGCCCUCUGGGAUCCCAGACCGGUUCAGCGGCAGCGGGUCUGGCACUGACUUCACAUUCACCAUCAACAGGGUAGAAGCUGAUGAUGCUGCAGAUUAUUAUUGUCAACAAGGCUCUAGCUCACCUCUCACAAUGAUACAGACCAAUACAAAAACCUCCCUGCUGCCUUCAGUUUCUUUUCCUCAUUUUAACAGCUGUUUCACUGCAGUCAGUCAAAGUAUCACACCAGCUGCUGUGACCCCAGAGUGUUGGGGUGCCUGUCAGUUUCAGGCACCUCACCCCAUUGUCUUAUCCUAG